AGAAUAUUUUUGGGCAAUGGAAAUUGUGUGAAGUGAGUCAGAGCCGGAAGGCAGCAGCUAUAAGCACGAUUCCCAUGUGCUCUUUUAUUAUGGUGUU
rnacentral:SRP_RNA from 1 species